rnacentral:misc_RNA from 1 species
GAUGAAGAACGUAGUGAAAUGCGAUACUUGGUGUGAAUUGCAGAAUCCCGCGAAUCAUCGAGUUUUUGAACGCAAGUUGCGCCCGAAGCCAUUCGGCCGAGGGCACGUCUGCCUGGGUGUCACGCAUCGUUGCCCCCCCCAAACUCCGGUUCGGGCAGGGCGGAAGUUGGCCUCCCGUGCGUGCCUGCGCGCGCGGUUAGCCCAAAAGCGAGUCCUCGGCGACGAGCGCCACGACAAUCGGUGGUUUUUUUACCCUCGUUCCUCGUCGUGCGUGCCCCGUCGCCCGAACGCGCUCUUGUGACCCUCACGCGUCGCCUCGGCGGCGCUCCCAACGCGACCCCAGGUCAGGCGGGACUACCCGCUGAGUUUAAGCAUAUCAAUAAGCGGAGGA